rnacentral:tRNA from 1 species
GGCCAGAUGGUCGAGUGGUAAGGCAGAGGUCUGCAAAACCUUUUACAGCGGUUCAAAUCCGCUUCUGGCCU